rnacentral:rRNA from 1 species
AACGAACGCUGGCGGCAUGCCUAACACAUGCAAGUCGAACGAGACCUCCGUGUUUGGGGGCGCAUGUGGGGGUAGCGCGGGGGAAGCUACACUUGGGUUCCGAAUACUUCACUGUAAGGGGUGCUAAUGCAGGAUAAUGUCAUCGGACCAAAGAUUUAUCGCGUUUGGAUGGGCCCGGGAUGGAUUCGCCCGUUGGGAGGGUAAAAGCCUACCAAGGCGACGAUCCAUAGCUGGUCUGAGAGGCGGAUCAGCCACACUGGGACUGAGACCCGGCCCAGACUCCUACGGGAAGCAGGAGUGGGUAAUAUUGCACAAUGGGGGAAAGCCUGAUGCAGCAACGCCGCGUGAGUGAUGAAGGCCUUAGGGUUGUAAAGCUCUUUUACCCGGGACGAUAAUGACGGUACCGGGAGAAUAAGCACCGGCUAACUACGUG